UGAACCUGCGGAAGGAUCAUUAAUGAAUUUGGAGGCUGUCGCUGGCUAGGUGAUUCUAGCAUGUGCACGUCUACACUUUUAAACACACUUGUGAACCCAUUGUAGAUCGAGUCCAUCGAAAAGUAGUGUCGAACUACCUAAUAGAGGGCUGAUUGACUUAUCGAAAAGUAUGAGGCUUAUUGAAAAGUAGUGUGAACUACCUAAUAGAAAGCUUAGUACCUAAUAGAGAGUUAGUUGGCUUAUCGAAAAGUGGUAAGAACUACCUAAUAGAGGGGCUGAGUUGGCUCAUUGAAAAGUAGUUAAUAGAGAGUUAGUUGGCUUAUCGAAAAGUAAGAGGCUUAUUGAAAAGUGGUGUAAACUACCUAAUAGAAAGCUUAGUACCUAAUAGAGGGCUAGUUGGCUUAUCGAAAAGACUACCUAAUAGAGGGCUCCAGAAGAUCUAUGUUUAAUCUACACCACAUCGUAUGUCCAGAAAAUAAAUAAAUUACAACUUUCAGCAAUGGAUCUCUUGGUUCUCGCAUCGAUGAAGAACGCAGCGAAUCGCGAUAAGUAAUGUGAAUUGCAGAUUUUCAGUGAAUCAUCGAAUCUUUGAACGCACCUUGCGCCCCUUGGUAUUCCGAGGGGCAUGCCUGUUUGAGUGUCAUUUUAUCAUCAACUCAUUAGUCUUUGAUUAGGCUUUUGGGCUUGGACUUGGGAAUUGCUGGCUUGAUCUUUAUCUAUUGAACAGUAUCUAAUACUUAAUAGAGGGUAAAGUGUAGUCGGCUGUCCUUGAAUGCAUUAGCGAGUGUUAGUCUACAUGGCACGGCCUCUUGACGUGAUAAUGAUCGUCGUGGGCUGGAAGUGUAGUGUCUGGCUUCUAAUCAUUGAUUGCGUGCAUACGGCCGAUAAAGCUGGAAGCGCAACAAAAUACGACCAUGUGCAUACGGCCCUUGAAGCUGGAAGCAUAGUCGAAAUUGACAUUUGACCUCAAAUCAGGUAGGAUUACCCGCUGAACUUAAGCAUAUCAAUAAGCGGAGGAAAAGAAACUAACAAGGAUUCCCCUAGUAACUGCGAGUGAAGCGGGAAAAGCUCAAAUUUUGAAUCUGGCGGUCAUCUAGGCCGUCCGAA
rnacentral:rRNA from 1 species